GGGGGUCGGUCACUGCGCGGUUGGGAGGGGUGGGGAAGUGCGCGGGAGCAGGUCGGAGGUGUUGGGGGCGCGUUGGGUAGAGCCACCCUCCUCCCCUGCGGUCCAGGAACCGUCCACCAAGUAGGAGGAAGCGGCUCUGGGUGGGUGCGGCGGCCACUGCGAGCCAAGCUACGGGGCCGGGGACGCGCCUGAGAGCCUUGCGAGUGUUCCGGGGGCGCGCCUUCUCCUGGUCUCCUGGGCCUGGCACCCAGCGGAAAUUGGGAAGUGACGGGCACAAGCCGGAUCAUGAAGCGGGGAAGAUUUCUCCACUUCCCCACUUCCUCUCCAGACGUCGGUCAGAGCAAGGGAAGAGGGAAAAGGUGGGGGCUGACGCCCCAAGGCCGCCCUCCUGUUCCCUCCCGAUGAAUGUGCUCAAGCGGAAGGUUAUACAAGUCCACGACUAUCCGGAAUCGGGCUUUC
rnacentral:lncRNA from 1 species